ensembl:snRNA U6 U6 spliceosomal RNA
UGCUCACUUCAGCAGCAAUAUGCUAAAAUUGGAAUGAUACAGAGAUUAGCAUGGCUCCUGUGCAAGGAUGACACACAAAUCCAUGAAGUGUUCCAUAAAAAU